rnacentral:rRNA from 1 species
UACGAAGGGUGCAAACGUUGCUCGGAAUCAUUGGGCGUAAAGCGCACGUAGGCGGCUUCGCAAGUCGGAUGUGAAAUACCUCGGCUCAACCAAGGACGUGCAUACGAAACUGCGAGGCUUGAGUACUGAAGAGGAUCGCGGAAUUCCCGGUGUAGAGGUGAAAUUCGUAGAUAUCGGGAGGAACACCAGUGGCGAAGGCGGGUCUCUGGGCAAUAACUGACGCUGAGGAGCGAAAGCGUGGGGAGCGAACAGG